rnacentral:lncRNA from 1 species
GUUCAUUCAUGUAGCUUCAGGCGGUUACAAAUUUCCUAUUUUUGCAUCUAAUCUUCUAGAGAAUCAAAGAAUACCUGGAAAUUGAUAAGGAAAAAGGGGUGAGGAAGCAGCAGAUAGCAGCAACACAAAAUCAGCAAUUAAACGACCAGUUUUAGACUCAGAAAAUAACAUUAAGCAGCCUAGAAGAACAACUCCAAACCCAGCAAUGAACCAAAGGACUUCAACCUAGACUUGAUUUCAACUCAUUUAACUACUAGCUACUCAAAAUUGUUUCACACAUUAGGAGAACUUUCAAAAAUCAACCCAAGACUCGAUGAAACAAUAUCUUUUCAGGGUUUUGUUUAGUCUUGGAUUUCAGAAUUUUCAGUACUUG